AUACGGAGGGUCCAAGCGUUAUCCGGAUUCAUUGGGUUUAAAGGGUCCGCAGGCGGGGAAAUAAGUCAGUGGUGAAAGCCUACAGCUCAACUGUAGAACUGCCAUUGAUACUGUUUUUCUUGAGUAUAGAUGAAGUGGGCGGAAUAUAUCAUGUAGCGGUGAAAUGCAUAGAUAUGAUAUAGAACACCGAUUGCGAAGGCAGCUCACUAAACUAUUACUGACGCUCAGGGACGAAAGCGUGGGGAGCGAACAGGAUUAGAUACCCGAGUAGUCC
rnacentral:rRNA from 1 species